UACGGAGGGAGCUAGCGUUAUUCGGAAUUACUGGGCGUAAGCGCACGUAGGCGGCUUUGUAAGUAAGAGGUGAAAGCCUGGUGCUCAACACCAGAACUGCCUUUUAGACUGCAUCGCUUGAAUCAUGGAGAGGUGAGUGGAAUUCCGAGUGUAGAGGUGAAAUUCGUAGAUAUUCGGAAGAACACCAGUGGCGAAGGCGGCUCAC
rnacentral:rRNA from 1 species